UUUUUUGGGUGUGGUUUUUUUUGCGAUUUCACCGAUUUUUUUGCAAUUUUCUUUGGGAUUUUUAUAAAUUUCCAAAAUCUCAUUUUUUCCCCUUUCUUCCCCAGGUUUUUUGCUAAUUUCUGUAAAUUAUUUUGAGAUUUUAGGGCUGUUUUUGGGGAAUUAUUUCUGAUUUUUUGGGUGGUUUUUUUUGCGAUUUCACCAUUUUUUUGCGAUUUUCUUUGGGGAUUUUUCUAAAUUUCCAGAAUCUCACUUUUAUUUCGGUUUCCCCCAGGUUUCCUCGGGUCUGCAGAGCAGCAGCCCUGCCCGCAAAAUCCUUGGGGAUUUUCCCUUCUCCCGGAUUUUUUAGGGAAUUUUUUUGGAUUUUUUUGUGAAUUUUUAUGAUUUUUUGUUUCAUUUUUGGGCUUUUUUGCCCUGAAUUUUUGGGGGAUUAUUUUGGGAAUUUAGGGACAAUUUUUGGGUUAUUUCUUUGAAUUUCUUUUGUAAUGAUUUGGGGUUUAUUUUGCUGAUUUCUGUAAAUUCUUUGGGAUUUUAGGGCUGUUUUUGGGAAUUAUUUCUGAUUUUUUGGGUGUGGUUUUUUUGCGAUUUCACCGAUUUUUUUGCGAUUUUUUGGGAUUUUUCUAAAUUUCCAGAAUCUCACUUGGAUUUGGGUUUCCCCCAGGUCUCCUCGGGCCUGCAGAGCAGCAGCCUCCUGACGGCGCUGCCGGGGCCCUUCCUGGAUCGGCUCCUGGCGCCGGCGCUGCUGCCGCAGCCGCAGCUGCAAAUCUUCGUCCUCCUCAUCCUCGGCAGCUUCCUCGACCGCCGCCGCCUCCAGCCCCGCCUGCGCCCCGCCAGGUCAGAGAAAAUCCUAAAAUGUUCCAAAAAAAAUCCAAAUUUUAGUGCUUGGGAUGGGAAAUUUUGCUGGGAUUUUUGGGUUUUUUUUCAGAUUUUUUUUAGAAUUUUUUCAGAAUUUUUCAGGAUUUUUCAUAGUUUUUUCAUGAUUUUUACAGAAUUUUUUCAGAAUUUUUUCAGAAUUUUUACAGAAUUUUUUCAGAUUUUUUUCAGGAUUUUUAAGGAUUUUUUUCCUAUUUUUUUCAUAUUUUUCUGAUUUUUUUUACAAUAUUUUACAGAUAUAUUCAGAUUUUUUACACAAUUUUUUCAGAAUUUUUUCUGAUUUUUUUCUGAAUUUUUUCAUAUUUUUUCAGAAUUUUUACACAACUCUUUCAGAAAUUUUCAGAAUUUUUUCAUGUUUUUUUCAGAUUUUUUACAGAAUUUUUUUCAGAUUUUUUUCAGAAUUU
rnacentral:lncRNA from 1 species